rnacentral:rRNA from 1 species
UACGUAGGGUGCAAGCGUUGUCCGGAAUUAUUGGGCGUAAAGAGCUCGUAGGCGGUCUGUCGCGUCGAGUGUGAAAACCCGGGGCUCAACCCUGGACCUGCAUUCGAUACGGGCAGACUAGAGUUCGGUAGGGGAGACUGGAAUUCCUGGUGUAGCGGUGAAAUGCGCAGAUAUCAGGAGGAACACCGGUGGCGAAGGCGGGUCUCUGGGCCGAAACUGACGCUGAGGAGCGAAAGCGUGGGGAGCAAACAGG